AAACGCGUAUUCCACAAAUCGGCGACACAAAAUCCUAAUCUACUCUAACUCUCGCUUCUGAAAUCAACCAAAUGUCUCCUCGUCGACGGAUUUUCAGCGAUUUUCUAAAUCAUGCGCUUCCGGAACAGCGAAGGAUGACAGAAAAGUGUAGGAAGGAUGGCUGCGAAGAAGAGGGUAUCGCUCAAACCAAAAAUGAAAAAUGCUACAGUAACUAGCCCGCACUCGUCGAAUGAAAAUGCACAUGAUCGAUGACCCAAAACAAGGUACAGUGGUAGAGAAUGUUGAUGCAACUUAAUUACAAGAAAGUGAAGAUCGACGUUGAAAAGAUGAUAGCAAACUACAGAUCUUAAGCGAUGGUUAUGUCAUAACUUAAAAGACUGUUUCGUUUUUAUUGUUUACCACUGUUUUAAAUUAAGGAUGUUUAAACAAAUUAGUUUUACAUGUUUUGAUGAUGUUUUAGAAAUGACAUCAGAUGUUAUUUUUUCUUCAAUUUAUAUAUGAAAACGACUCAUUUUUUAGUGCC